UUUGGCGGAAAUAGAGACAAAAAUACAUUCAUUAAUUUUUAAAAGGGCAAAAAUCAGGACAAAUUCGAUGUAUGGAUUAUGGAUUUGAAAGGCUUAAUCACAUGUACCUCUCAAGCAAUUUAACAUUUUGUAAGUACCUAACUGUUGGGCUGUGCAUCUAUGGAACCGCAGUGGUAACUGAGGUUCUCAUUUGCUCAAGAUGGAACAUUUGAGC
rnacentral:lncRNA from 1 species